rnacentral:tRNA from 1 species
GUAAAUAUAAUUUAAUAAAAAUAUUAGAUUGUGAAUCUAACAAUAAAGGUUUAAAUCCUCUUAUUUACC